rnacentral:rRNA from 1 species
GACGAACGCUGGCGGCGUGCUUAACACAUGCAAGUCGAACGGAGUGGCGAACGGGUGAGUAACACGUGGGUGAUCUGCCUUGCACUCUGGGAUAAGCUCGGGAAAAUGGGUUUAAUACUGGAUAGUGCAAGAUGAGCUCGCGGCCUAACAGCUUGUUGGUGGGGUAAUGGCCUACCAAGGCGUCGACGGGUAGCCGGCCUGAGAGGGUGUACGGCCACAUUGGGACCUAGGUACGGCCGAGACGCCGACGGGAGGAAGCAGUGGGGAAUAUUGAACAAUGUGCGGAAGCCUGAUGCAGCAACGCCGCGUGGGGGAUGACGGCCUUCGGGUUGUAGACUCCGUUCGACAGGGACGCGGUACCUGUAUAAGAAGCACCGGCUAACUACGUGCCAGCAGCCGCGGUAAUAC